AUGGCCCUAAGGAGCAUUUAUGAGCACCUGAGGCCAGGAGAGCCAGCUUGGUGGCACAGGGCAUAUUGUACUAGACUUGGACUCAGGAAAACCUUAUCUCAAGUCCUGUCUCAUAGCUGUGUGACCCUGGGCAAGUCACUUAAUCUCCAUCACCUAUCCCUUACCGUUCUUCUGCUUUGGAACCAAUACAUAGUAUUGAUUCCAUGACAAAAAAGGUUUGGAGUCAUUGCAUGCUUGCAAAAGGCAUCCUUCCGGAACCCAAAAGGGUAUCCUUCCACACCCAUAACAUUUUGACGCCCAAUGUGGUUUUUGGCUCUCCUGAAAGCUACUCCUGUACCCCGAAUCGCCCACGAGGACAGGGCUUCUCAGAUUUCAUCAAUUUCAUCAAUACAACUAGCCUGGUGUGGGCAGCUGGCUGAGGAGCAGUGGAGAGAGAGCAAGAGGAUUCUGGGAAAAAGACCUGAAAGCUGAGAGAAUUCUAGGCAACUGACAUCCCUUCCAGCCUUGGAAGAAAACUGAGAGGAGUGGUUUCCUGAGGGUCAGAGAAAUAUCUGAAGCCACAGGAGGAGAAAGAUGCUGAUUUCCCUUUUGUGUUGUACCUGUAUCCAGCUAGAAAUUCUCCACAAUCUCCUUUCACUUGUCUCCUGCUAUUCAAGACUGAGAGGGAGUUCAGUUGGACUCUUUGGCCAGAGCCAAUCUGCCCUCUCCCUUUGGGUCUCCCCCUUUUGGUUUUCCCUUGGAUAGAUUCAUAGAGAUAUUACUUCAAGUUAGUAUAGUGUAAGAAAUAUAAGAAACAUGGUGUUGGGAAAAUACUUGAGGCACAAAGCCUCUGGCCAAGGACCAACUACUAUAAAACAUAAUUUUGAGGGCAUUCCUAUCCCUCUGUCCUACUACCUUGUCCCUCCAACCAUUUUUUUCCCU
rnacentral:lncRNA from 1 species